UCUGCUCCUUUAGCAUGUUCUUCCUCAAGUAUCUGCUGCUGUUUUCCUUCAAGAGAUCUCGACAUCCUUCCUACUGACUACAUUUCUUGUUGUUUUGAGACGGAGUCUUACUCUGUCGCCCAGGCUGGAGUGCAGUGGUCUGACAUGGUGCCAUUGCACCCCAGCCUGGACAACAAGAACGAAACUGUGUCUCAAAAAAAGAAAAAAAAAAAAAAAGCAAACAUUUGGAAAUAUAAUGUGACUGGAAAAGUGUGGUCAGCAUUCUGGGCAGCACCAAUCUGACAUGACCUCAUGAGGGAGUAAGAUGUAUUUGAGAAGCAGCCACUGGUUUGUUACAACUGGAGUAUGCGCAAGAAUAGCUGGAGAUUAGGCUGGACAAUAGUAGUUAUACCAAUGAUAAUAUUUUUCAAGUAUAUCAUGUGCCAAGAAUUUUACAUAGAUUAUCUCAUUUAAUUCUUGUGAUACACUAUGACCCAGGUACUGUUUUUAUCCUCAUUUUAUAGAUAGUGAAACUAAGUUACCCACUGAGUUAAAUGAUUUGCCCAGAGUCACAG
rnacentral:lncRNA from 10 species